rnacentral:rRNA from 1 species
CCUACGGGUGGCUGCAGUGGGGAAUAUUGCACAAUGGGCGCAAGCCUGAUGCAGCCAUGCCGCGUGUGUGAAGAAGGCCUUCGGGUUGUAAAGCACUUUCAGCGGGGAGGAAGGCGGUGAGGUUAAUAACCUCAUCGAUUGACGUUACCCGCAGAAGAAGCACCAGCUAACUCCGUGCCAGCAGCCGCGGUAAUACGGAGGGUGCAAGCGUUAAUCGGAAUUACUGGGCGUAAAGCGCACGCAGGCGGUCUGUCAAGUCGGAUGUGAAAUCCCCGGGCUCAACCUGGGAACUGCAUUCGAAACUGGCAGGCUAGAGUCUUGUAGAGGGGGGUAGAAUUCCAGGUGUAGCGGUGAAAUGCGUAGAGAUCUGGAGGAAUACCGGUGGCGAAGGCGGCCCCCUGGACAAAGACUGACGCUCAGGUGCGAAAGCGUGGGGAGCAAACAGGAUUAGAUACCCGGGUAGUC